GACGAACGCUGGCGGCGUGCCUAAUACAUGCAAGUAGAACGCACAGGAUGCACCGUAGUUUACUACACCGUAUUCUGUGAGUUGCGAACGGGUGAGUAACGCGUAGGUAACCUGCCUGGUAGCGGGGGAUAACUAUUGGAAACGAUAGCUAAUACCGCAUAAGAACAUUUACUGCAUGGUAGAUGUUUAAAAGGUGCAAAUGCAUCACUACCGGAUGGACCUGCGUUGUAUUAGCUAGUAGGUGAGGUAACGGCUCACCUAGGCGACGAUACAUAGCCGACCUGAGAGGGUGAUCGGCCACACUGGGACUGAGACACGGCCCAGACUCCUACGGGAGGCAGCAGUAGGGAAUCUUCGGCAAUGGGGGGAACCCUGACCGAGCAACGCCCGCGUGAGUGAAAGAAAGGUUUUUCGGAUCGUAAAAGCUUCUGGUGUUAAAGGA
rnacentral:rRNA from 1 species